rnacentral:rRNA from 1 species
GACGAACGCUGGCGGCGUGCUUAACACAUGCAAGUCGAACGGAAAGGCCCUGCUUUUGUGGGGUGCUCGAGUGGCGAACGGGUGAGCAACACGUGAGUAACCUGCCCUUGACUUUGGGAUAACUUCAGGAAACUGGGGCUAAUGCCGGAUAGGAGCUCCUGCAGCAUGGUGGGGGUUGGAAAGUUUCGGCGGUUGGGGAUGGACUCGCGGCUUAUCAGCUUGUUGGUGGGGUAGUGGCUUACCAAGGCUUUGACGGGUAGCCGGCCUGAGAGGGUGACCGGCCACAUUGGGACUGAGAUACGGCCCAGACUCCUACGGGAGGCAGCAGUGGGGAAUAUUGCACAAUGGGCGGAAGCCUGAUGCAGCAACGCAGCGUGCGGGAUGACGGCCUUCGGGUUGUAAACCGCUUUCGCCUGUGACGAAGCGUGAGUGACGGUAAUGGGUAAAGAAGCACCGGCUAACUACGUG